rnacentral:rRNA from 1 species
CCAGACUCCUACGGGAGGCAGCAGUGAGGAAUAUUGGUCAAUGGGCGGGAGCCUGAACCAGCCAAGCCGCGUGAGGGAAGAAGGUACAGCGUAUCGUAAACCUCUUUUGUCAGGGAACAAAGGCGGGGACUAGUCCCCGGAUGAGGGUACCUGAAGAAAAAGCAUCGGCUAACUCCGUGCCAGCAGCCGCGGUAAUACGGAGGAUGCGAGCGUUAUCCGGAUUUAUUGGGGUUAAAGGGUGCGCAGGCGGCUUGUGAAGACAGGGCAAAACCCCGGGGCCCCACCCCGGCCCCGCCGUUGAAACUGGCAGUCUCGAGUUGGAGAGAAGUAUGCGGAAUGCGCGGUGUAGCGGUGAAAUGCAUAGAUAUCGCGCAGAACUCCGAUUGCGAAGGCAGCAUGCCGGCUCCACACUGACGCUGAGGCACGAAAGCGUGGGUAUCGAACAGGAUUAGAUACCCCAGUA